GCUCCUCUGUGUAGUGGUUAGCACGUCUGGUUUACACGCAGAAGGUCCUGGGUUCGCGCCCCAGGUGGAGCC
rnacentral:tRNA from 1 species